ensembl:lncRNA
AUGGUUCCCCGAGUUCCAAUAUGUGUUUCCCUUUUUUUAAAAAGUUACAUUAUAUUUAAAUGUAAAAAACAAUUAACGUUUUGUGAUAACAAUAAUAAAGCAGAAGAAAAGGUUUUUUUGUUAGGAGAUGAACGUUGUUUAAUUAAAGACACUAAACAAAAUGGGGAAUCACUGUUUUUUGAAAAGAAUAAAAUAAAAGCAAAAAAAAUAACAUUCGGAAAUUGCAUUGGAAGUUGUAUAACUGAAAAUAAUGACGUAUAUAUAUGGGGUUCUUAUGAUAAUGAUGAAAAAAAUGAAAUAGUUUAUGUUAAUCCGAUAAAGUUAAAUAUUAAUGAAAUUUUUACUGAUGUGCAGUUUUCGAACAAUGAUAUAUAUUUAGUGAAUGAAAAUGGAGAAUUAAAAAUUAUAAAAAAUUAUAAUGAAUGUUUGAAAAAUAAAAAGUUUAUAAUUGAAAAAUUUUAUAAAUGUCAAAAUUAUUUUUCUUUCCCAUUUUUUAGGGAAAAAAUAAUAAAGUUAAGUGUAAAUAAAUUCCAUUUAGCUUUUGUUACGAAUAAAGGAAAUAUGUAUUGUUCAGGUAACAAUUUUUAUGGACAAUGUGCAAAAGAACCUUUUCACAAAAACAAUUUAAAUAUAAAUUAUAAUUUUUUAUAUUCAAAUUACUUAAUGAAUUCAUUUAAUAUGAUGAGUAAUGUACAUACGAAAUGGUUGCAAGAGAAUGUAAAAUCAGAAACUGAUUAUGUUGAAGAUACAUAUAUAUCUAAAGAAUAUAAUCUUAAUUCAGAAAAUAACUCAUAUAAUGAAAUGAAUGAAUACAGGGGGAAUGAAACAGAUAAAAGGAAUUAUAACUUAUCCAUUAAUAAUAAUCAUAUGAUAAAAUUUAAUAAAAGUGAUAUACAUAACAACAAUGACACUAUUACAAAUUUGAAUAAUAAAAAUGAUAAUAUGGAAAAAUAUGAUGAUGAUAAAAAAGAUGAAUAUUUUACAAUAAAGAAUGGGACAGAUUUAUUUUAUAAGAAUAAUUAUGUUUUUAUGAAUAAAGUACCAUUUGAAAAAAAAACAAAAAUUGUUGAUGUUUCUUGUGGUUUAAAUCAUACAUUAUGUUUGGAUGAUGAAAAUAAUAUUUACAGUUUUGGAGAUGAUAGUAAAAUACAAUUGGGGUUAGGUGAAAGUAGAACAAAUAAAAAUUCUUUAGCAGGAACAAGGUGGAAAGAUCAGUUAAAACAUGGCUAUUCAAUUAUUACAAAAAAUUUGGCUAACUAUUCUUUUUAUGAUAGGCACAUACAAAGUAGUCCACAGAUAAUUUUAAAAAAAUUAAAUGAUAAAGAAAUAGUAGGUAAUAUAUAUAAAAUUGUUGCUGGUGGAGAAUUUUCUAUAAUAUAUUCAAACGACAAAUUUGGUAAACAACUAUUUUGUUUUGGUGAUAACAUGUAUAAUCAAUGUGGGAGACAUUUAGGAAAACAUCAACAAACAUUAUCUACUGUUAAAUUAUCGAAUCACAAAAUAAAUGAUAUUUCUUGUGGGGAUAGGCAUUGUUUAUUGAAUUUAAAUGAUCAAUUAUAUGGAUGGGGAUAUAACAAUAAAUACCAAAUAACACCUUUUAAAAAUAAAGGAAUUAUAAAUAAUCCAAUAUUUACAUUAUCUACGAAACAUUACCCUAAUAAUGCUCAUAUCAAAUAUGUAAAUGCGGUAUAUAAUAAUUCAGCUAUCAUCAUUACGCAAAAGUGA